AUUGAACGCUGGCGGCAGGCCUAACACAUGCAAGUCGAACGGUAGCACAGAGAGCUUGCUCUCGGGUGACGAGUGGCGGACGGGUGAGUAAUGUCUGGGAAACUGCCCGAUGGAGGGGGAUAACUACUGGAAACGGUAGCUAAUACCGCAUAACGUCGCAAGACCAAAGUGGGGGACCUUCGGGCCUCACACCAUCGGAUGUGCCCAGGUGGGAUUAGCUAGUAGGUGGGGUAAUGGCUCACCUAGGCGACGAUCCCUAGCUUGUCUGAGAGGAUGACCAGCCACACUGGAACUGAGACACGGUCCAGACUCCUACGGGAGGCAGCAGUGGGGAAUAUUGCACAAUGGGCGCAAGCCUGAUGCAGCCAUGCCGCGUGUAUGAAGAAGGCCUUCGGGUUGUAAAGUACUUUCAGCGGGGAGGAAGGCGGUGAAGUUAAUAACUUCACCGAUUGACGUUACCCGCAGAAGAAGCACCGGCUAACUCCGUGCCAGCCGCCGCCGUAA
rnacentral:rRNA from 1 species